rnacentral:rRNA from 1 species
AGUCCGAUUUAGCCAUGCUAGUUGCACGAGUUCAGACUCGUAGCAGAUAGCUCAGUAACACGUGGCCAAACUACCCUAUGGAUCCAAAUAACCUCGGGAAACUGAGGCUAAUGUGGAAUAGCGUUCAUCGCCUGGAGUGGCACGAACGCGAAACGUUACGGCGCCAUAGGAUGUGGCUGCGGCCGAUUAGGUAGACGGUGGGGUAACGGCCCACCGUGCCCAUAAUCGGUACGGGUUGUGAGAGCAAGAGCCCGGAGACGGUAUCUGAGACAAGAUACCGGGCCCUACGGGGCGCAGCAGGCGCGAAACCUUUACACUGCACGCGAGUGCGAUAAGGGGACUCCGAGUGCGAGGGCAUAUAGUCCUCGCUUUUCACGACCGUAAGGUGGUCGUAGAAUAAGUGCUGGGCAAGACCGGUGCCAGCCGCCGCGGUAAUACCGGCAGCACGAGUGAUGACCGCUAUUAUUGGGCCUAAAGCGUCCGUAGCUGGCCACGCAAGUCUAUCGGGAAAUCCGCGCGCUUAACGCGCGGGCGUCCGGUGGAAACUGCGUGGCUUGGGACCGGAAGACCAGAGGGGUACGUCCGGGGUAGGAGUGAAAUCCCGUAAUCCUGGACGGACCACCGGUGGCGAAAGCGCCUCUGGAAGACGGAUCCGACGGUGAGGGACGAAAGCUCGGGUCACGAACCGGAUUAGAUACCCGGGUAGUCCGAGCUGUAAACGAUGUCUGCUAGGUGUGGCACAGGCUACGAGCCUGUGCUGUGCCGUAGGGAAGCCGUGAAGCAGACCGCCUGGGAAGUACGUCCGCAAGGAUGAAACUUAAAGGAAUUGGCGGGGGAGCACUACAACCGGAGGAGCCUGCGGUUUAAUUGGACUCAACGCCGGACAUCUCACCAGCAUCGACAAUGUGCAGUGAAAGUCAGGUUGAUGACCUUACUGGAGCCAUUGAGAGGAGGUGCAUGGCCGCCGUCAGCUCGUACCGUGAGGCGUCCUGUUAAGUCAGGCAACGAGCGAGACCCGCACUCCUAAUUGCCAGCAACACCCUCGUGGUGGUUGGGUACAUUAGGAGGACUGCCAGUGCCAAACUGGAGGAAGGAACGGGCAACGGUAGGUCAGUAUGCCCCGAAUGUGCUGGGCGACACGCGGGCUACAAUGGCCG